CAUUGAUAGCUUAAGCAGAAGAGCAUGGCACUGAAGAUGCCAAGGUGACAAUGAUGUCUCAUAGCA
rnacentral:tRNA from 1 species